GGUUUUGGCGGGAAAAUCUGUAAUGUUUGGAGAAGACAAGAUGGCGCUGGUUACCUCGUGUUAUAUCAAAGGGCAUUUUUGUUCACAAAUACCCGCUUAUUUUACGUUAUAGCGACUGGUUAGUUUUGGAAAUUAUAACUCAAUGGACGGGGAAAACGAUUCUGUAUUAAAGAGAAAAAGAUGUGCAGUUAUUGUGAUGUUAUUUGUUGUGAAAGACGGCCCGAAAUUUCGCUACAUUGCAGUACUGGGUUAUAAAACAUUUACAAGCAACAGCAAUUGAACUAUAUAACAAAGAAACCAAUAUGUACAAGCCAAUCAAUUUCUUCUGUUUAAAGGUCAGUUUAAUUUUUAAUAAUUAGUUCAUUUAGUUGUAUAUUAAUACGAAGUACUGGAACAGUACGUAGUUUGAUGCCGAGUUUGAUUUGCUAUUUGUACUGUAUACGUAGUCGGAAUAUUUAAGAUAAGGUAUGGAUAAACAGACCCCAACCCCUUUUCUAACACUAACCAAUAAAUGUGUAAUGAACUAUUUGAGAAUUAAGGUCAGGGGGGGAUUUAAAAAUAUUGUAAGAAACAUUUCUACAGGGCUGUUUUAUAUGGAAAAGCAGGGUUGGCCCUCUUCGCAGGAUGAAUUUUGCUUGCGUUUAAUAUAUAAGGAAAUUUUAUCCUGCUUGCUGGGCUAGAAAUUGUUUACAAUGCACUCAAUUGGCUUUCCCGGGACAACUUUCAAAAUUAAUUUUUGCUUCAAAACUCACUAUUUUGUAAACAUUGAAGGGUCUCUGUAAAGAACGAAAUUAACCCAAACCAGAAACAAUCGAAACCGGAAAUUCCCACCUAAUUUCCUGCAUAAACAAAUAUAAAUUAUAUUGUUGAUGCUAGAUCACUGGCAUGUCAUUUAGAUAAAUAUCCUCCGAAUGUCAUAAGUCACAAGGUUGUAUACUAUUUAACUGCUAACAAUUUUGUAAAUUAUUCAAUAAUCUUAUUGCAUCUUCCUGAACAAUGCUGGUUUUGUUUGACAAAAACGAUAUUGCAUUCACUUUCUCAUUUAUUUGACAUCCGAUAUGGCUUCCACUAAAAUGGCACGCUUUGUGAUUUAAAAAAAAAAUACAUGCUCAUUUACAUGUUUCCAAAUCCCAAUUUAUCUGACUGCAUUUUAAUGGAUUCAAAUAUUCAGAACUUUGUUCUUUCAAUCACAAGUAGUACAAGUAUUAUUGCAUUCAAUGGUAGUAUUUUAUUUGGCUUUAUAUGUGUAUUUUGUAUGUGUAUUUUUUAUAUUUGCAGGGCUCAAUAUAACAGCCGAUAGGUCUCCGGUCAAAAUGACCGGUCAUCUUGAUUUUAGCUCGGUCAAAAUCUGUUUUCGACCGGUCACUAAUACUUGUGCACUAACAGUGAAAAAAAGUUAUAAGAAAGUUGUCUUGAGACAACUUUUAUUGCUUUGUCAUGUUUUAAACGCUUAGUUAAGACAUUAGCAGUCCCUAUAUAUAAAGGUGAACAGGUAACGUUAUCGUCGUUACCAGAGUUGUUUGCCGAUCUGAUUGUUGAGGUUUCAGUUUUGCCACUGAAAAUCCUGAGGGCUUUUGUGUUGUGCGACUACUUUCGCAGCUACCUUCUUUACAUUUUCCAACAAGAAAAUUUUCUUCGCUGUAACCUAGUGUUUUAGCAAGCCACAGAGCAUAUGCAAAUUGAGUCUUGCAAAAAAUGCAGAGGUAUUUGAUGGUUUUCCGUCCACACUUCGUACAAUCCUUGAUCGCCCAAAUCCAGACGAUAAGAGAGGCAUUAGUCAAGUGGUGCUACCCAAAAAAAGCCCAGCUGAUUCGUUAGGCGACGAAGAGUCUGGAAUUUUUACUUGAAGCCAAUCACUUUUGAGAAAAAUCUGAGUAUUAAAACAACAUAAUUAAAACAAAGUCGAAACCUUUCAAGGUCAGCAUAUACUAUGUUUUUGUCGUACAUAACUCGACGUACUUACGGUGAAGUUGCGUACUUGCGAUGAAAUAUACAGUUUUUCUCGGACAAUAUUUCAGCAGACAUCAUAUGCUGAGGAGAAAAAACGAUUUAAAAUUCUAGGGAAAGGUAUGAAAAUGUGGCCGGUCCAAAUGACCGGUGAGGUAAAUAAGUGAACGGUGAAGAGGCAAUUUUGGCCGGCCAUUGUCUGUUGACCGGCUGUUAUAUUGAGCCCUGAUUUGUAUGUGUAUUGAUUAGCUCGUAAUGUAUUAUUUGGAGCCUAUAUUUAAUUAAUUAAUAUAUUGUGUGGCUUGCUAAUGUUUCGUAUUAAUGUUAUAUACAUUUCUUUAUCCUGAUGAUGACUGAAAUAUAGUCAAAAUGUUGGUAUUAAAAUAUAAAAAUGUUAUUGAUCUUCGGAGUUACACUUGUUUUAUACAUUUCUUUGUUGUACAUUUCACACCCUGCGUCAAUUUGACAGUCUUUGUUUAUUAUCCCUGUGAGCCUGCUCGCAGGCUAAAUUUUAGGCAAUUUUAUGCGGGGAAAUUAGGUGGGAAUUUCUGGUUUCGGUCGUUUCCGGAUUUGGUUGUUUCGGUUUCCGUUCUUUACAGAGACCCGCUAUUGAAGCACAUACUGCGAUUUGCAGUUGAGUUUAGAAACAGGAAGUUUUACCGCACAGUUUGAUCGUAAUGUUGUCAAGCGGAAAUGUGAAUGUUUUCAUGGGAAAUUUAGGCACUUUUGGCCAAUCACAUAAUUUCUGCGCCUUCUUUGCUAUGAUUGCCCAGAAGUGCCUAAAUUUCCAAUGAAAACAUUCACAGUUCCGCUUGACAAUAUUUGAGUUUGCCCUUGAUAAGUUGUGUGUUUCAACGAUCAAACUGCACGGUAAAACUUCCUGUCUCUAAGCUCAACUGUGCAAGUCACAGUAUUUGCAACCUUUUGUUUUGUCUCUUUUACGUAUGUAAUGUCAAGAACUAUAAAAAUAAUUGCAGAAAAGACUUCACACUAUCGAAAAUAUUUCAUCCUGGCAACCGGGCCAAAUUUUCACCUCCGUUGUCCGUAUAAACGCACAGGAAUUUUUAAAUUCUACUACACAGCGAGAUCUCGCUUAUCGGGCUGUCAAGUGGGCCAGCCCAGUCCAAUAUAAAAAGCCCCUAUGCCAGGGUGCAUUCCAUGUAAAGUCUACGCCGAAGAUACGCCAAUGUUAACUAUAGAUAGUAUUGUAAUGUGCCAAACUCACGCCGAAGAUCUUCGGCUUAGGCCACUUAAAAUGCACCCUGGCCCCUAUGUCAAACAAAAAAUAUCUAAAACAAAACCUGACCCCCAACCUCGUUUCAUUUUGCAUCCACGCUAUGCCUUUGCCAAAUAUGCUGAUUUGCUGUUGCAAAAAACUGUUUUAUAUUACUACUUUACAAAAUGUAAUAAUUGGAUGCCAUACUUCAGUACGAUUAUUAGUUCGAUAUUAAUAAUUAUUUAUAAGCACUAUUAUACAAGAAAUGUCAACAAUGAAUUUUCCUUCAAUGGUUGCUUUUUAUUGGUCAAAAGUUUAAUAUUGUUUUGACAAGAGAAAUGUUUCUCAACAAUUUUCAGAAAGUUUUCGAAGACUUCUAGAAGCUCUGUUUUUAAUUGGGAUAUUCCAUUUAAAAGACGUAACCCCCCUAUCGAGGACAAUGGUUUUACCAUAUCUCUGAAGAAUUCCUGACAUAAAAGAGAUCCCCUGAAGAAUUCCUGUUAAUUAAAUAGCAUUUACCCCUGAAGAAGUCAGCAUUUACCCCUGAAGAAGUACAAUUUUUACACCUGACCCCUAAGGAAAUUGCAUUCAAAAUAACGAACCCCUGAAGAAUUCCACCAUAGACGGAUUUUCAUUUUUUUACUGGGGUGGUGCCAGAAAUUUUAGGGGGGUGAGCCGUGAGCAGGUGACUGAAGCAACACAAAGUGUCACCAAACCCCAGUAAGGUCUAUAUUCUAGGGGUGGAGCACUAUAGAGCUGCGAGGGGAGUCUAGAGAGCAGAAAACAAAGUAUCCCAGGAAAAAUUUGAAAAAAUCAUGAUUUCUAGCUUUGAAAAAGUUUUUUGAAGUUGUCAUAUCAAUGGAUUUUUAAAGAUUAAAUCUAGGCAAGUCUAUUUCCUAAAAGAAUUAAAGACUAAAAUAAUGUUCUUAAAAAUUCCAAACGUUCCUUGCAAAUAAGCUAUUUGCAUGGCAAGGCACUGCAGGGGAGAUAAUAGAGUUUCAAGACUUUACAAUUGCUCCAAUAAACCAGUGAAUGCAAGCGAGGAGCGAUUAGUUUCAGAGUAUUGCACCAUCUUUUUCUAUUUGAGUGUACUCCUACAUUUAUUUUGUAUCAUCAACACUCUGCACGUUGGAGUGGACUAUUUAAUUAUUUUUUAUUAUGCCGAAUAUUGGGGGGGUUGGAAAAUUUUUUUGGAGGGGUGAACAUUUUGUUUGGGGGGGGUUAUAGCUAAUAUUGGAGGGGUAGCAUCUCCCCCCCGAAAAUACGUCUAUGAAUUCCACAGGAGAAUUUGUUUACCCAUGAGGAAUUUGGGAGUUAAAAAGGGAGGUUCUGGAUAUUAAAUGGAAUAGCCCAAUUUUCUGGAAAAUUUCCUGGUUGUUUUCCCUGCAGCUUGUUUAUAAACAUGAUGAUAAUUUUCCAGAAUUCUUGUCUGGUUCAAUAGAAAUUUUAUUUUCCAAAGUUUUAAAAUAAACAGAAGUGCAGAUGUACCCAAAACAGCUGGUUAAUUUUUACCCACUGGUAGCACUAAUCAGCUAAAGCUUUGAACCACUGGCCCCAGGGGCCAGUUGUUCAAAGCUGGGUUAGCUUAACCCUAUUUUAACAACUAAAUUUCAAAGCAAACUUCCUUUAUCAGUCGAAAGUGAUUAUUUAGAACUGAAUUUAUAAAAGUGGUGGGAAUUGAACCCGCGACUUUUGGGAUACUAGUCCAAUGGUCUGCCAAGUGAGCUAUGUGGUCAAGUCGGUUCGAGUUGAUGAUAUUUCGUAACCGAGUCUAGUUCCUUCGAUCAUAUCAUAGAAUACACUGAUAUCGAAAGAACUAGACUUCCAAAAUAUCAUCAACCGACUUGACCAUGUAGCUCAGUUGUCAGAGCAUUGGACUAGUAUCCCAAAGCUUGUGGGUUCGAUUCCCACCAUGGCCAAGCUAACUUUUCAGCUGGUGUGGAUACACAUUCAGAGUAACAUUGCAAACAUCACAAUUUUCAGAAAGUUUUGACGAUUAUUUUGGGGCAGUACACAGUGGUCCCCCAGCCUAGGGUUGUCUUUACCAAUGCCAAUAUAAAUCUUAUUGGCAUAGAGAAUUAUACAUUUGGCAUAAUAAUUUUGUAUGCUGCAUUCAUUCUAUUGACCAAUCAGGGAGAUUCUUUUGUAAAUACCCACACCAAUCGGAAGUCUGUAUUUUUAUGCUAAAACAGAAAUUGGCAUCCCAGAUACUAAAUUAUAUUCAAAUUUAUAUUCAAGUUUAGGGUAUGUUGCAGCUCUAUAUCUUGCUGUUGCAAGUUGCUUUGCGUUUGAUGUUUGUUCUGGGAUAAAAUAUUGAAUUAUACCUUAAAUUAAUAAUGUUUCGUGAAGUUUAGUUCAAAUUAAUAGAGAGAUGAGUGCAUAAAGUAUUUAGGGUAUUUUGAAGCUAAAUUUGUUUUAAAAUUUGUCAUUUUAGUGAAAUGAUGUGGAACACAAUGCGUUCUUUUCUACUCGUGCUGGUUGUUGUAAAGAGACAUCGGGCAUUGUAAUGAAUAGAUGAAAAUGUGUCGCUGGCAAACCUACACCAUGUGCAUUUCUUGGUGGAUAUCUUGGGCAAAUGUGCAAUAUGAUGGAUAUCUUGGGCAAAUAUCUUGUAUAAAUUGGUACAAUUACUUACCUUAAAUUACUAAAGAAGGAUGAUGUUUUAAGGUUAGUGGAUAUUUAUAAUAGUGAUAAAAUGGGGGUUCCCUGUGAAUAGGAACGAAGGGCUGUCCAAUUAAGUGGAAACAAUAUUGCGGCGUGUAACAAUUUAAUCUGUAAAAAUGAUACAUGUUUAGAACAUGCAAAAAGCAAAAAUUGCGGCAUAAAUAUAUCACGAAACAUGCUUCUUACAACUACAUGCUAUGUUUAUAGGAAUUUGAAUAAGUUUUAAUAAAGUUUUUAGUAGGCAUGAUUUAGGAUUUUUGUUUUACUUUCAUUUAUGAUUUUCUAUAAAUGCCCCAUCUAGUUCAUAUAUAAUACCAUAAUGUAUAUAGAUUGAUUGUAAAUAUAUAGAUUGUAAUUUUUUGAUAUAGAAAAUAAUAGAGUUCUUAUACAACUACAUGCUGUGUUGGGUUGUUAGGGUUGAAUAAGUUUUUAGCAGGCGUGAUUUAGGAUUUUUUUUAGGAUUUUCUAUAAAUUUAGUCUGUGCCCAGACUGUCCCCCCCCCCCCCAGGUCAAAAAAUAUGCCAGAUUUGUAAAUUCUACCAAAUCUAUUCAUACCAAAAAAUUAAAUGCUCUCUUGUGUGGCAAUGUCUGCCCAACAGCACCCAGAAACUUAAUCGGUAAAACCGGUAUACUCGUCUCAAAAUUAGCUAAGCAAAUUUAUGCAAGUAUAAUUUUGAAAUGAACAAAUAAAAAACUGCCGAUCAUAUUUUGCUGGUAGCUGUACAGCAUUAGCGUCGAAUGACAGCAGACUGUAAUCCCGUGGCGGAUUGCAACAUAAUAAUGCAUGUAAUAUAUGGUUGUACUUGUAAAAUUUAUAAUUGGUGCGUGACAAGUGAGGUUGAAGCGGCAUUCUAAUAUGCGAAGCAGCAUUCUAAUAUGUACAGAUGGGGGGCGGUUGAAGUAAAUUUUAUUUAGGUAUUGCAUUGUCGUCAUGUGUGCUUGCUAUGCACAGAACAGACUUGCUAUGCACAGAGUGUCCCACAGCAGUAUGCAUAAGUUGUUGAUCAGGAAAAUAUAAUAUUUCACAAAAUAAAAAUUAUUAAAUAUAAAUAUAUAUAUUUCUUGUAACUUUUGGGACAACUUUGCUUUCUUUAACGUGUAGCAUAAUUUGUCUUUGUCAUUCUGUGCAAGUAUUCACGGCAAAGAAAAUAUGCAGGCAUUAAAUAUUUCCUGCAUUAUUUCUCAAUCCUUGCUCAAUGAGAAAAACAUACUUUUAAGUAAAAUUUUGUAAAUUAAAAUUUUGUAAUAUAGGAAAAAAUAGAGUUUCUGUAAUAUGUAUGUAUCUGAAACAACUACAUGCUAUGUUGAUAGGAAUUUGAUGUUUUUAUUUUUAGUAGGCAUGAUUUAGGAUUUUUGUUUCUAUUCAUGAUUUUCUAUAAGUGGGGUGUCCAACUAAUUUGAGAUAUGUUAUGAAUUUAUGAUAUCUUUACCACAUAAAAGAGUGGCAGUGUCAUCACAACAGUAUAAAAACCAAUUACUGUGGGUGUGGGCUCUAUUUUACAAAUACUAGAUAAAUAUACAAUACCAUAAUUUACGAGAAUAAAUACAACUAUCAGGAACAACAAGAGAGUGGAGUAGCAAGACUAUGGAGAAGUGUUACAUUUCAAACAGAUUGAUUUCCAAGUCUGGGGAUUUUCAGAUUCAUAGUUUAUAUUGAUAGCAGUAAUGUAAUAUCUGUAUAACAUACAGUUGUUAAAUUUUUUAACGUCUCUCUGGAGCCUGCAGGAGGUGAGACCCUGGGAACGAGGAUGGGGCUCAUAUUUGUUCUUAAGAGUUUUUUGUUGGGCAUAUAGAUGGGAGGGGGGAGUCGUAUAUGGGGGUAUUUUGAUAUCGUAUAUUUCAAAAUCUAAGUUAGUCCUUUAUGAACACAAUAAAACUUAUUUGAGUGUAAUCGCUUUUGUACUUUUUGUUACAAUAAAAUAAAUAAAUCAAUAAUGUCAUUGCUGUUGAAAUGACUUAAUUCAUUACUAAUAAUACUAAAGCUUGUGUUGCUGAUAAUAUACCAUCCAGCGUCUAUUUUUGGCAAAAUUGUUGCACAGACCAUAUUCCAAUGUUUGUGAUGUGACCAUUGCAUAUGGCUGUCAAAAACGUCAAGAUUAGUUAGAUUAUUGUUUUCUAAAACAUUGCACGGCUCGUGAUUUUAGAACUAUUUUUGUGCUUUAACCCAUUGAGUGGCAGCACUCUCCACUUGACAAGUAAAAUCCUGUGGCGUUAGAUAGUAAAAUAGUAAAGUAGGGUGCAUCGGGGCACAAUGCAACUUAAGUAAAGGGUUAACCAAAACAAAGUUCAUAAAAAAAUUUUUCACACAGUACCGGUACCAUGCCAGUUUGUAUUUUGAAGUUCCCCGAGUACAGCAUCUGAUGCACAAGACUUUGCUCUUGAUGAGUAAAAUGAUCUGAUAUCAGACAUUUGAGUUCCUUUGCAGCUUAAGGAGUUAAUCCUAUUUAUCUUGGAGAACAGCAAUUCAACUAUCUGGCUGGCUUGACAAAUAAAAUUAAGCAGGGGGUGCACUGGCAGUUAAUGGGUAACUAGACACUUGGGCAGUCUCAUUAUGAAGCAUAAAAUCGUCUGGCGUUGGACAGUAAAAUACUCAAGUAGAGCAUGCAUCAGGGCACAGUACAACCUAACGGUUUAAUUUGGGGGUUUUGUAGCAAAAUGGUUUAAGUUUUAUAUCUGAAUUAAUUAUUGUUUUUUUGCUUUGUUUUACAGAUCAUUACUGAACAUGCUGAUGAAAUAUUGAUUUAUAAAAUAUCAUGUUACCAAGAUGACACAUGCCUUGAAGAGCAAUACAGGAGGGAAUACCUCUAUUUCUAAUCAAAUUACAACAACACACCAAAGACAGUAGUUAUGAUGACGAAGCUAUGAAUUUAAAGAAAAUGUACCAAACAACAAAGACGAUGAUGAAAUUGGAUGCCUCGGAUGAAAUGAAAGGAUUGAUCAAAUGUCCAUGGUCAGCAGUGGAUAUUUGUGACUAUAAUAAAUGGAUGCAAAGAAACUAUGAUGGAUAAAUAUGGCCCCGUAAUGGUUAUUCAGUUAAUGGACAUACAAAGGUCACAGAAAUGUCCACUCUCAGGUAUUGUUCUUUCUUGUUUGCCUGCGAACAGGCUGUAGAUACUUGUAUCCAGGCCAUCCAUUGUUUGUUUUCUUGUUCUGGGUACAAUGAAAUCCGGCAUAAAUCCUGGCGGUCUAAAUGUUCAGUAUAUUUACACAUUCGAUCUAUUUUCUGUUCAGUAGACUUUGAUAGCUUGAACGAAAGUUUAUAACGAUGAUUUUCUUUGCAAAAACUGUACUUUCGAAAUUCGUCAGCUUCUGAAUUUGAAAACCGAUCUGAAAAAAGAGGGAACAUUUGAGUGUAUGGUUAUUGCAUGGUUUCCCUCUGUGUAAAUAUACUGCCUUGGUGCAUACGCAUUACAAGCGCAGCAACACAAUAGUUUAGACAGGGUCAUGAGGCAGGAUGUGUGCAAGAAAAGCUUUGCCAGAGUUUUGUCUUUCGAAAUACAACGACGAUUGUAAAUUGCUGUUUGAUUCUUUGUAAUAUCUCGUCGCUUUGUUAGUAAAAAAGAAUUUGUCACUUUCCUCAUCUAAACCUUUAAAAAAAACUGGCAUCGUUGGUCUUGGGGUUAGGGGGUACAAAUGGUACCCAUAGCUUAGAGGGUGCAAAUGGUACCCGUAAGAAGACUUGGUGGAAAUCAUGUUGGUCGUUUGGAUCGGCGAGAAUAAGACAAUUAUGGCGGCAAAGUUUUUUUAAACAUUUUCUCUCCCGUAGUAAGGUAAAGCAUGUAUUUUUCCUGGUAGCCGGUCUUACUUCAUGAAAAAACAGUCCGCUACCAGUGACUAGGUCCCCUCUCUUAUGGCGGUCAUUGCGGCUCAAUACCUUCAGGGAUAUUCCUUUUCAGGGCGGUUGCAUGCGGAUAAUAUGGUCCGUCGCGUAGUUAGGGAGAUAGACAGUUUAGAGGCGUCGAAACUGCGCAAUAUACACUUGCACGAAACGUCGCUAUUUUGCAAUUUGAAUCUGGGUU
rnacentral:tRNA from 1 species